CGGGGACCCGCACAAGCGGUGGAGCAUGUGGUUUAAUUCGAAGCAACGCGAAGAACCUUACCAAAUCUUGACAUCCUUUGACAACUCUAGAGAUAGAGCCUUCCCCUUCGGGGGACAAAGUGACAGGUGGUGCAUGGUUGUCGUCAGCUCGUGUCGUGAGAUGUUGGGUUAAGUCCCGCAACGAGCGCAACCCUUAAGCUUAGUUGCCAUCAUUAAGUUGGGCACUCUAAGUUGACUGCCGGUGACAAACCGGAGGAAGGUGGGGAUGACGUCAAAUCAUCAUGCCCCUUAUGAUUUGGGCUACACACGUGCUACAAUGGACAAUACAAAGGGCAGCGAAACCGCGAGGUCAAGCAAAUCCCAUAAAGUUGUUCUCAGUUCGGAUUGUAGUCUGCAACUCGACUACAUGAAGCUGGAAUCGCUAGUAAUCGUAGAUCAGCAUGCUACGGUGAAUACGUUCCCGGGUCUUGUACACACCGCCCGUCACACCACGAGAGUUUGUAACACCCGAAGCCGGUGGAGUAACCUUUUAGGAGCUAGCCGUCGAAGGUGGGACAAAUGAUUGGGGUGAAGUCGUAACAAGGUAGCCGUAUCGGAAGGUGCGGCUGGAUCACCUCCUUUCUAAGGA
rnacentral:rRNA from 3 species